AUUGAACGCUGGCGGCAUGCUUUACACAUGCAAGUCGAACGGCAGCGCGGGCUUCGGCCUGGCAGCGAGUGGCGAACGGGUGAGUAAUAUAUCGGAACGUACCCAAGAGUGGGGGAUAACGUAGCGAAAGUUACGCUAAUACCGCAUACGAUCUAAGGAUGAAAGCAGGGGACCGCAAGGCCUUGUGCUCCUGGAGCGGCCGAUAUCUGAUUAGCUAGUUGGUGAGGUAAAGGCUCACCAAGGCAACGAUCAGUAGCUGGUCUGAGAGGACGACCAGCCACACUGGAACUGAGACACGGUCCAGACUCCUACGGGAGGCAGCAGUGGGGAAUUUUGGACAAUGGGGGCAACCCUGAUCCAGCAAUGCCGCGUGAGUGAAGAAGGCCUUCGGGUUGUAAAGCUCUUUUGUCAGGGAAGAAAAGGUCGUGGCUAAUAUCCGCGACUGCUGACGGUACCUGAAGAAUAAGCACCGGCUAACUACGUGCCAGCCGCCGCGGUAACAC
rnacentral:rRNA from 1 species